CCGCCUUUUAUAUCUAAUAUCAGUUGUAUGGUAAUAUAACUCAUUAACAAUAUAAAGUAAAUACCUAGAGUCUUUUGAUUUGAGGUCCUUGGUUUAUGACCUUAAAAUUGAGCUCAAGGUCAUAUGUUAAUUUAACGUUCUAGAUUUUGACCUUUGCUUUUACCUCAUAUGUAUUCAUGUUAAAGCUAUCAGACUUUUUGCAUUAGGUUGCAAGCAAUAUGACGUUGAAAAAGCUAACCGGAAGUGACCUUUUGUAAACCGGAAGUAGCUAAUUUUUGUAAUAAAUUG
rnacentral:lncRNA from 1 species